AGCGAACGCUGGCGGCAGGCCUAACACAUGCAAGUCGAACGAACCUUUCGGGGUUAGUGGCGGACGGGUGAGUAACACGUGGGAACGUGCCUUUAGGUUCGGAAUAACUCAGGGAAACUUGUGCUAAUACCGAAUGUGCCCUUCGGGGGUAAGAUUUAUCGCCUUUAGAGCGGCCCGCGUCUGAUUAGCUAGUUGGUUGAGGUAAUGGCUCACCAAGGCGACGAUCAGUAGCUGGUCUGAGAGGAUGAUCAGCCACAUUGGGACUGAGACACGGCCCAAACUCCUACGUGAGGCAGCAGUGGGGAAUCUUGCGCAAUGGGCGAAAGCCUGACGCAGCCAUGCCGCGUGAAUGAUGAAGGUCUUAGGAUUGUAAAAUUCUUUCACCGGGGACGAUAAUGACGGUACCCGGAGAAGAAGCCCCGGCUAACUUCGUG
rnacentral:rRNA from 1 species